CCGGCGCACGGGUGAGUAGCACGUAUCCAACCUGCCGUCUACUCUUGGACAGCCUUCUGAAAGGAAGAUUAAUACAAGAUGGCAUCAUGAGUCCGCAUGUUCACAUGAUUAAAGGUAUUCCGGUAGACGAUGGGGAUGCGUUCCAUUAGAUAGUAGGCGGGGUAACGGCCCACCUAGUCUUCGAUGGAUAGGGGUUCUGAGAGGAAGGUCCCCCACAUUGGAACUGAGACACGGUCCAAACUCCUACGGGAGGCAGCAUG
rnacentral:rRNA from 1 species